UGCUUGGGUAGCUCAGUUGGUAGAGCACUUUGCCUUUCAGGCAAAAGUCCCGAGUUCGAGUCUCGGUCCGGCAC